rnacentral:sRNA from 5 species
AGGAUGAGAAGCUUUGACUAAGGUUCGAUUCGAGCGCAGCGAGAAAGCGUUGCCGCAGGCAACGACCCGAAGGGUGAGGAGCGGAGCGACGAAUAAUCCUUCCCCCACCACCA